rnacentral:tRNA from 2 species
GGGCAGUUAGCUCAGUUGGUAGAGCGCCUGCCUUACAAGCAGGAUGUCACAGGUUCGAGUCCUGUACCGCCCA